rnacentral:rRNA from 1 species
AGAGAUGUGUGAUGACGCAUAUCAAUAAGCGGAGGAAAAGAAACUAACAAGGAUUCCCCUAGUAACGGCGAGUGAAGCGGGAAGAGCUCAAAUUUGAAAUCUUCAAGGGUUUCCCUUGACGAAUUGUAGUUUAAAGAAGUGUUUUCUGUUAGAGAGGUGGUAAAAGUUCUUUGGAAUAGGACAUCAUAGAGGGUGAGAAUCCCGUAUUUGAUCACUUUCUACUAACGUUGUGAUACACUUUCAAAGAGUCGGAUUGUUUGGGAACGCAGUCCAAAAUGGGUGGUAAAUUUCAUCUAAAGCUAAAUAUUGGCGAGAGACCGAUAGCGAACAAGUACCGUGAGGGAAAGAUGAAAAGAACUUUGAAAAGAGAGUUAAACAGUACGUGAAAUUGUCAAAAGGGAAGCGUUUGACACCAGUGUUGUUUUUCUCGAAAAUCAAUUAUGAAUGGUUUGAUUUUUAGAGUUUCAUGACCUUCAUACGCUUGCUCCUAUUCUUUAUGUACUUUCGUAAUGCACUUUUCGGUUAACAAGUCAACAUCAAUUUCUUUUGUUGUAAAAGGUAAUGAGGAAGGUGGCUUUACUUUCGGGUAAAGUGUUUAUAGCCUUUUACCUCUGCAAUCGGAGAGAUUGAGGUCUGCAGCGUAGAUCCUUCGGGGUUAGAUACAUUUUGUGCUAAGUUAUAGCUUUUCAUAGACAACUUGUUGACUAUGUUAAGUCUUGUAGCUUACUCGCAGUAUGCUAUUUUACCUACGCUUAGGAUGUUGAGUCGUAGAGCACGCAG